UUCUCCGUGGCUGUGGGCAAGCCGAGAGUUUGUUGACGGUGUACGUCUCACGGUAACUGUGCUUCGUUACGUUAUCGAAAAAUGUGAGAUAAAUAGACUGACGUCUCGCUGUUUAUCCUCGGAAGACAUUACAAUACUUUAUGUCCUACAAUGCCGCCCAAAACAAGGCACCUGCUGGUUUGCAGUUAGCGGCGGAGCAAGAUGCUAGCAGUAGCAGCUGUCUCGCAGUAAAGAUGGAACUUCUGGACCAGUUGAAUAAAAGGCAGACCGGCACAAGGUUUAUGCCUGUCUGUAGCCAUUAUGGCAUAAAUGAAUCUUCGGUCCGCUUCAUAUAGAAGGACGAAAAUAAUAUCUGGGUGACAGCCGCAGUACAAUCGACAUCAACUUUAAUGAAAGCGAAAAGCAGCACUUAGUGGAUACUGACACGGCUGCAAUUUCUAGAGCCCCAUAGCAAAAGGAAGGUGGCCAUGUCUAUUGUCUAAACAGCGUAAAUGGACUAUUUUCAACAGGAAUCUUCAGUGGCUGCAGUUGAAUCUGUGCCACUACUCUAGAGGAGCCCUGCUUCAUUGAGGCUGACCAAAGGUCUGGUACUGCCCUGGCAGAAUCCACCAUGUAUGACAGGGAGACAUCAUCCUCAGAAGAUGGAUAAGAACCUUCGCUUAUCGCCUGCAGCCUAUCAUGUACUCCAAUCACCUGUCCAGCUCAAGUUCGCACUUCAGUGUGUAAACACAGCGGUUGUCAGAUUGUAUGCUUGCUGUAAGUAAAAAUAAUCAAAGUCAGGAAGACUAAAAGGAUGAAAUCAAUGCUGCUCACUCACGCUUAUGCUGAGAUUGGGUAUUCAAGCAUUGUGUAAUUUGUUGGGAGCCGUGUGAAAGACAAGACAACAACAAACCUCUUCAGAAGCCUCAGUCGUUACGUCAUCCUUCAGGCUGCAAGAAAUGGAUGUGCUUCAUUUUGCCACCCAUAAUAUCUGCAGGGGCUUCCACGCGCCUUCCCAGAGGGCACGUGCUGCCGUAUUAAAACUGUCCAUCGUCUUUUUUGGGCGACCGACAAGAGGUCUGAGAGUCGAUGAAGUUGACACGCAUCGUCCUUCAAGAAUGCCUCAUUGCACAGCAACUGCACCAAAGUUUGCGCACUGCUCGGUGCAGUCAAUGAAAGUAAUAGUCUUCUCCCGCAGGGUUUUGGACGAGCAGCUCACAGGGACCACCCUUACUCAA